rnacentral:misc_RNA from 1 species
GAAAUGCGAUACCUGGUGUGAAUUGCAGAAUCCCGCGAACCAUCGAGUCUUUGAACGCAAGUUGCGCCCGAGGCCACUCGGCCGAGGGCACGCCUGCCUGGGCGUCACGCCAAAACACGCUCCCAACCCCCUUCAUCGGGAAUAGGGAUGCGGCAUAUGGUCCCUCGUCUCGCAAGAGGCGGUGGGCCGAAGAUCGGGCUGCCGGCGUACCGCGCCGGACACAGCGCAUGGUGGGCGUCCUCGCUUUAUCAACGCAGUGCAUCCGACGCGUAGCCGGCGUGAUGGCCUCAAAACGACCCAGGAAACGAAGCACACGUCGCUUCGACCGCGACCCCAGGUCAGGCGGGACUACCCGCUGAGUUUAA